rnacentral:misc_RNA from 1 species
UGUCAGCAUCAGUACCUCAGG